UAACGUUCCAAGCCUGCAACCUAAAGUGACGUACUCUUUCAGUGAACGCUGCUCAGUUCUUCGAGGUUUCUCCCUGUCAGAUCUGCAGGGGUUUGUGGAGGAACAGGAGAAGCAGGUGGACGGGGGUGUCAAGAGUCAUUAUGCAGGAGGAGGACACAUGAGAGAGCAGAGAUCUGUAGAAAAAAGAGGAAGAGGAGCAGACACUGCCCUGGCAGAUAUCGCUCUGAAUAUCUUGUGCUUGCUGAUGAAGGACCAGUGGAGCUGGCUGUGUACAGAAAACAUCCAGAAAACCAUCAGACUGCUCUUUGGCACUUUUAUUGAAAGGUGAGGUUAGGGCUGGGCGAUAUAGCUGAAAAAUUUAUCAAUGAUAUAAUGUCUCAU